AGACGAGUGAGAGAGGGAAAAAUUAAUUAAGGAAAACACAGACCAACAGGAACAUCGAAACGUGUGUGUGUGUGUGUGUGUCUGUGUGAACAUUGGCUAAUAGAAGCUGUGGUCACUAACACACAGGUGACAGACCGAGGUUCAAAUAGGAUUGAAGUUCCUGAUGGGAGGGGUUUGCACUCCUGAGAAUAUCCCAUUGGUUCCAUUAAGAAAUGUCAGCUCAAUCAAGUUGAAGUAUUUAUUUAAAAUACUAAUAUUAGAAGGAAGAAAAACUACCACCAUAUUCCACCUGCCUUCCCAAACACUUCCUCUUUUCUGACUAGGACUGGUGUAGCUGAUAGCUGCUUUAUAGAGGGAUGUUCUACUUACAGUGAUAUGUGGUUGUCUAACCUAGCUAACGUAAAUUCAUAUAAUAAUAAUGAAUGCCAUUUAGCAGACACUUUUAUGCAAAGCCACUUAUGUGUGCAUAUACAGUAUUUUAUAUAUGGGUGGUCCCGGGAAUCAAACCCUGAAUCCUGGCAAAAGAAGUGCCAUGCUCUCACCAACUGAGCAAUACAGUUUAAUUGUUGAAUGCACUGACUGUCAGCUAAAUUACCAAAAUGUACAUCUAAACAACAACAGAGUUGUCUCUUGAUUUCUGUAGAGGUUCUGUCUGUAACAGUGUUUGUAGAGAGCUCAGUAAGGUUGUAUCAUGGUUUCUGUAGAGGUUCUGUCUGUAACAGUGUUUGUAGAGAGCUCAGUAAGGUUGUAUCAUGGUUUCUGUAGAGGUUCUGUCUGUAACAGUGUUUGUAGAGAGCUCAGUAAGGUUGUAUCAUGGUUUCUGUAGAGGUUCUGUCUGUA